UCUUGGUUGCUGUGGUAACGCGUCAACACCCAAAGCCUUGGUGGCGGCGCCGGCGGCCGAGGCGGCGGAGGCCUGGUGUCAGGGCGUGUGGCCGAGAUGCCGUUAAGCACAACUGGCGUCCUGAGCUCCUCUUCUACCACUUCCAACAGGUCAAGGAAUAGGACCUGCUAUCGGACCAAAGCCAUGAGCUCUGAGGUGGAUGAGAGCCUCUUCGGAGCGAGCAAGCCCCUGACACAGGCCCACAGUGACAGCCCCAUCGUGCUGCUCCGGGAUAAGCAUACCAUUCAGAAAACUCCCACUGCCCUGGGCCUGGACCGCAAGCCAGAGACCAUCCAGCUCAUCACCCGGGACAUGGUCCGGGAGCUCAUUGUUCCCACAGAAGAUCCUUCUGGGGAAUCCCUCGUCAUCACCCCUGAGGAGUUUGAGCGAAUCAAAUGGGCAUCCCACGUCCUGACCAGUGAAGAACUCGAGGCCAAAGAGCAGGCCUUCAAGAAGGAGAAGGAAGCCAUCAUGGAUGCAGUGACAACGUGCAAGAAGAUCAUGAAGCAGAAAGAAAUGGUGUGGAAGAACAACAAGAAGCUCAGUGACCUGGAGGAGGUGGCAAAAGAGAGGGCACAGAACCUCCUGCAGAGAGCCAACAAGCUGCGGAUGGAGCAGGAGGAGGAGCUCAAGGACAUGAGCAAGAUCAUCCUCAAUGCCAAGUGCCAUGCCAUUCGGGAUGCCCAAAUUCUGGAGAAGCAACUGAUCCAAAAAGAACUGGAAACAGAAGAGAAGCGUUUGGAUCAGAUGAUGGAAGUAGAGCGGCAGAAAUCCAUUCAAAGGCAGGAGGAGUUGGACAGGAAGAGGAGGGAGGAAAGAAUCCGAGGAAGACGGCACAUUGUGAAACAGAUGGAAAAGAACCAGGAGGAGCGAUCUCUGCUUGCUGAGCAGCGGGAGCAGGAGAAAGAACAGAUGCUAGAAUAUAUGGAGCAGCUCCAAGAGGAGGAUCUAAGGGACAUGGAACGAAGGCACCAGGAUAAAUUGAAGAUGCAAGCUGAGAUUAAGCGCAUCAAUGACGAGAACCAGAAACGGAAAGCAGAGAUGCUGGCUCAGGAGAAGCUGGCAGACCAGAUGGUGAUGGAGUUCACCAAGAAGAAGAUGGCUCGAGAAGCAGAGUUUGAGGCUGAGCAGGAGAGAACCCGGAGAGAGAAGGAGAAGGAGAUCACCCGCCUGAGGGCCAUGCAGGAGAAGGUCCAAGAUUACCGGGCAGAACAGGAUGCCUUGCGGGCCAAGCGCAACCAGGAGGUUGCAGACAGAGAGUGGCGCAGAAAGGAAAAGGAAAAUGCACAGAAGAAGAUGGAAACCGAGGCCGAGCUGCGGAAAAGUCGGCUAGAACAGGUGGCUUUCAAGGAGCACACUCUGGCCGUUCAGGUGCAACGGGACCGGGAUGAGUUCGAGAGGAUUCUUCGGGCCCAGCGAGAGCAGAUUGAGAAGGAGCGGCAGGACAAGGACAAAAAGGCUGCCCAGCGCUUACAGCAUGCCAAUGAGCUCCGGCGCCAGGUGCGCGAGAACCAGCAGAAGGAGGUGCAGGACCGCAUCGCUAUUUUCGAGGAGGGCCGGCGCCUCAAAGAGGAGGCCCAGAAGCGGCGUGAGCGCAUCGAUGACAUCAAGAAGAAAAAGAUUGAAGAGCUGAGAGCCACUGGCCUUCCUGAGAAGUACUGCCUUGAAGCUGAGCGCAAAGCUAACAUCCUGCCAGCCACCUCUGUGAAAUGACGGGGAGCCUCUGAGCCCUGGGGAUGCCUUUGGGGGACAGAUUCUGCCCAGUUUCUCGGACAGCCACAGCUUCCCCAGGCAUCUUCUCCACCUUCCCCACCAGUGAAGGCCGCUGCCCUGCCCAGCCCGGUGGGCGGCCCCACCAGCUGCGUUGGGAGGACAAUGUCAGUGCCAGUAACAGCAAGCCUCCUCCCUAUGGAAACUGAUACCUGCCUGGUACCUGCCUCUCUGGAAGACCUGAUAGCCUGCCUAGGAUGAGAGAGAAGACCCAGCAAUGGCACUGAGGCGGCUGGCCCCCUUCCGCAGCUGGCACACUGGCUCAGGUUCUAUCUGAACACCACCUGUUGCUCAGUUAAACCUGCAGGGACCAAGGAGUGAGUCCUUAUUUCAGGGGUCCCGCUUUUCCAGGAAAGCCAGAAAGAACCUAGGGCACUUGGAGUUUACCCAACUCCAUACCAAAGUCAUUCAUCUCAGGCCUGGGAGGAAUGAUCAGCUCUGGAAUGCAGAUCAAGAAGAAAGGGGGUUCUAUGACCAUUCCUAACCUCCAAGCCCCUGGAAAGAAAAAUGAGCCAAGUUGACAGGUUGAAAGCAAAGCAAACAUUUGGUCAGAACUCUGCUGGUGAAAAUGCAGGUCUGGGGACCUGGCAGUUCCCAAGGCCUAAAAGUAAGACCGUCUGACAGGCUUGGACAUAGGCAGUUAUCGGUUAUGUGAAUAGAUGUCUGGCUUUGGUGAAAGGAGCAUAUAGCUGUGUCUGAGCAGGUGAAAAUGGUCUGGGAGCGAAUCCCAGAGUUCUGUCCCUGGUGUUGCCAUGCCUGUCCUGUUCAUCCUGUCUCCCGCCAUUCCCUUAAUGGAUUCUCUGUCUUGGAAUUGGCCCCUGAUGCUCACCUCCAUCUGACUCAUCACAGGAGAAAUGAGGAGGGGUUUGCUUUCUUCUCUCAGGAUUCCUGAAAAGCCCCGUACAGUCUUCUGUGGGCUCCAUGGCUGGCCUGACUCAUCAGCAGGAACCUUGUUCUUAGAAGUGGAACCAUCCUGAGAGCUGGAUAGGCAGCUGGGGUCUGAAGCUACCUAAGUAUAUCUGGAUCUAUUAUCCCUCUACUACUCUUACUCAGGAAUGGAAGUAGGAAUAAUUACAGGGGAAAGUCCCUGGCUUUAAGUGGGGCUGGUGGGGUCAAACUAUAUGGCACUGGGGCCAGGGCAAACAGAGGACUUUGUGAACCCAGCUUGCAGAGUGGGGGUGGAAACAAAGAGAGAAAAUCUGUAUUCUUUGAGGACUCUAAUGGGCCCUGGGCUCAGGAAUGAUCGGCUUCAGUCCUGCUGCUAGAGGCUGGACCUUUGGGUGGGCAGUGCUCAGAGGUAGAAAUGAGCUGUGUUUCCCUUCGAAGCCACGGAAUCAAUUCAGGGGUGGCUGGGAGGCUGCAAAGGGGAAGAAUCGUGCUGGGGAAAUCUGGAAAUGUGUAGGAAGUACUGCUUGAUGCAUUGUCUUUGUCAACAUCUUAGAAGCUUGCAAAAAAAAAAGUGCUGAAAGCUAUUGACUUUGUU